rnacentral:rRNA from 1 species
GAACGAGACCUUCGGGUCUAGUGGCGCACGGGUGCGUAACGCGUGGGAAUCUGCCCUUGGGUUCGGGAUAACAGUUGGAAACGACUGCUAAUACCGGAUGAUGACUUCGGUCCAAAGAUUUAUCGCCCAGGGAUGAGCCCGCGUAGGAUUAGCUUGUUGGUGAGGUAAAAGCUCACCAAGGCGACGAUCCUUAGCUGGUCUGAGAGGAUGAUCAGCCACACUGGGACUGAGACACGGCCCAGACUCCUACGGGAGGCAGCAGUGGGGAAUAUUGGACAAUGGGCGAAAGCCUGAUCCAGCAAUGCCGCGUGAGUGAUGAAGGCCUUAGGGUUGUAAAGCUCUUUUACCCGGGAAGAUAA